GACCUGGUUGCGCAUGGUGUGCACCUGCUUCUAUAUAACAUUGCCAAAAUAGCAUGUGGCGGAAGUCGCCCGUUCGAUUCGGGCCCGGGUCA